rnacentral:rRNA from 1 species
AUACGGAGGAUCCGAGUGUUAUCCGGAUUUAUUGGGUUUAAAGGGUGCGCAGGCGGAAGAUUAAGUCGGCGGUGAAAUUUUGCAGCUCAACUGUAAAAGUGCCUUCGAAACUGGUUUUCUUGAGUGUAGAUGAAGUAGGCGGAAUUUGUGGUGUAGCGGUGAAAUGCUUAGAUAUCACAAAGAACUCCAAUUGCGAAGGCAGCUUACCGGGGUACAACUGACGCUGAGGCACGAAAGUGUGGGUAUC